rnacentral:rRNA from 1 species
ACGUAGUUGAUCAGUGGCCUACAGAACGACGCUGGCGGCAGGCCUAACACAUGCAAGUCGAACGGGACCUUCGGGUCUAGUGGCGGACGGGUGAGUAACGCGUGGGAACGUGCCCUUUGGUUCGGAAUAGCCUCGGGAAACUGGGAGUAAUACCGGAUACGGUCGAGAGACGAAAGAUUUAUCGCCGAAGGAUCGGCCCGCGUUGGAUUAGGUAGUUGGUGGGGUAAAGGCCUACCAAGCCGACGAUCCAUAGCUGGUUUGAGAGGAUGAUCAGCCACACUGGGACUGAGACACGGCCCAGACUCCUACGGGAGGCAGCAGUGGGGGAAUCUUAGACAAUGGGGGAAACCCUGAUCUAGCCAUGCCGCGUGAUCGAUGAAGGCCUUAGGGUUGUAAAGAUCUUUCAGUGGGGAAGAUAAUGACGGUACCCACAGAAGAAGCCCCGGCUAACCCCGUG